AGAGUUUGAUCAUGGCUCAGAUUGAACGCUGGCGGAAUGCUUUACACAUGCAAGUCGAGCGGCAUCGCGGGGCAACCUGGCGGCGAGCGGCGAACGGGUGAGUAAUGUAUCGGAACGUGUCCUGUCGUGGGGGAUAGCCCGGUGAAAACCGGAUUAAUACCGCAUACGAUCGAGAGAUGAAAGUGGGGGACCGCAAGGCCUCACGCGACAGGAGCGGCCGAUAUCAGAUUAGCUAGUUGGUGAGGUAAAGGCUCACCAAGGCUCCGAUCUGUAGCUGGUCUGAGAGGAUGAUCAGCCACACUGGAACUGAGACACGGUCCAGACUCCUACGGGAGGCAGCAGUGGGGAAUUUUGGACAAUGGGGGCAACCCUGAUCCAGCCAUUCCGCGUGAGUGAAGAAGGCCUUCGGGUUGUAAAGCUCUUUUGUUCGGGAAGAAACGGUUUCACCUAAUACGUGAGACUACUGACGGUACCGGAAGAAUAAGGACCGGCUAACUACGUGCCAGCAGCCGCGGUA
rnacentral:rRNA from 1 species